rnacentral:rRNA from 1 species
CCGCUAAUACCGCAGUACCGCCCGAAGGGGAAAGCGGGGGAUCUUCGGACCUCGUGCUAUAGGAGGAGCCUGCGUCGGAUUAGCUAGUUGGUGAGGUAAAGGCUCACCAAGGCGACGAUCCGUAGCUGGUCUGAGAGGAUGAUCAGCCACACCGGAACUGAGACACGGUCCGGACUCCUACGGGAGGCAGCAGUGGGGAAUAUUGCGCAAUGGGCGAAAGCCUGACGCAGCCAUACCGCGUGCGUGAAGAAGGCCUUCGGGUUGUAAAGCACUUUCAGUGGGGAGGAAAAGCUGGUGGCUAAUAUCCAUCGGCCGUGACGCUACCCACAGAAGAAGCACCGGCUAAUUCCGUG